rnacentral:snRNA from 1 species
GGAUGCGGGGACAAUCUGACUGUGACAUCUGUCACUCCACUGAUCACCAGGGUUGAUCCAGCUGGUCUGGCUGGCCAGGCAGGUGUCCCUGUCCCCUUCCUCCCUCGCCGCUCCACGUGCAUCCCUCCUCCCAAAGCUGAAGCUGCGUGCUCAGUGGACGAGGAGUAUACGAGUAGCUGUGCUGCCCUGCUACAAUCUCCAAACAAGCUUACAAAAUAAAAAUACAAAAGGGCUGGGGAGUACCUCAGUGUGA